GACGAACGCUGGCGGCGUGCUUAACACAUGCAAGUCGGACGAUGAAGCCGGAGCUUGCUCUGGUGAAUUAGUGGCGAACGGGUGAGUAACACGUGGGUAACCUGCCCUUGACUCUGGGAUAACUGCGGGAAACUGUAGCUAAUACCGGAUACGACCCUCGGAGGCAUCUCCUGGGGGUGGAAAGAAUUUCGGUCAAGGAUGGACUCGCGGCCUAUCAGCUAGUUGGUGAGGUAAAGGCUCACCAAGGCGACGACGGGUAGCCGGCCUGAGAGGGUGACCGGCCACACUGGGACUGAGACACGGCCCAGACUCCUACGGGAGGCAGCAGUGGGGAAUAUUGCACAAUGGGCGCAAGCCUGAUGCAGCAACGCCGCGUGAGGGAUGACGGCCUUCGGGUUGUAAACCUCUUUUAGUAGGGAAGAAGCGAAAGUGACGGUACCUGCAGAAAAAGCACCGGCUAACUACGUGCCAGCCGCCGCCGUAA
rnacentral:rRNA from 1 species